rnacentral:rRNA from 1 species
AGGUUACUGCUAUCGGUGUUCGCCUAAGCCAUGCGAGUCAUAUGUUCGUAAGAACAUGGCGUACUGCUCAGUAACACGUGGAUAACCUGCCCUUGGGUCCGGCAUAACCCCGGGAAACUGGGGAUAAUUCCGGAUAACGCACAUAUGCUGGAAUGCUUUAUGCGUAAAAUGGAUUCGUCUGCCCAAGGAUGGGUCUGCGGCCUAUCAGGUAGUAGUGGGUGUAAUGUACCUACUAGCCUACGACGGGUACGGGUUGUGAGAGCAAGAGCCCGGAGAUGGAUUCUGAGACAUGAAUCCAGGCCCUACGGGGCGCAGCAGGCGCGAAAACUUUACAAUGCGGGAAACCGUGAUAAGGGGACACCGAGUGCCAGCAUCCUAUGCUGGCUGUCCGGGUGUGUAAAAUACACCUGUUAGCAAGGGCCGGGCAAGACCGGUGCCAGCCGCCGCGGUAACACCGGCGGCCCGAGUGGUGAUCGUGAUUAUUGGGUCUAAAGGGUCCGUAGCCGGUUUGGUCAGUCCUCCGGGAAAUCUGACAGCUCAACUGUUAGGCUUUCGGAGGAUACUGCCAGACUUGGAACCGGGAGAGGUAAGAGGUACUACAGGGGUAGGAGUGAAAUCUUGUAAUCCCUGUGGGACCACCUGUGGCGGAGGCGUCUUACCAGAACGGGUUCGACGGUGAGGGACGAAAGCUGGGGGCACGAACCGGAUUAGAUACCCGGGUAGUCCCAGCCGUAAACGAUGCUCGCUAGGUGUCAGGCAUGGCGCGACCGUGUCUGGUGCCGCAGGGAAGCCGUGAAGCGAGCCACCUGGGAAGUACGGCCGCAAGGCUGAAACUUAA